CAAGCCAGAAGAGGCGCGUUGCUCAGGUAGCGUAUCAGAGGAGCCGGUUUCCAUUGACGAUACGCGAGGGGGUGUGACGCCGAGGCGCAGCAGCCCACCGGAGAAACUGCUACGUCGGCUACAAGGGCUGAAUCCCUUGGGCUGUCACCUCGAUUCUCUGUAUUCCGGGGGAUCGGCAAGGUGAGGCGCUUCUGGGUGU
rfam:Hafnia alvei FB1, complete genome.